UUUGAAAUUUUUGAAAAGACAGAGGGCAGAAGUCUGAAGCAGUUUAUGUCAGGAAUAGCUGUCACAGUCUCUUUACCAAGAUCCUUAGAACCUGUCCCAUCAACAGAAGUCCAUAAAAGUUAUGUGGGUUAAUGAAAAAAAAAAACUUUGCCUAGGGUUGGUCUUCUGAAAUGUGCACAGAUAGUAAGUCAUCAGGAGUGUCCUGUUCAGUUGUGAGAGGCAGCAAUGCAUGUGUAAGCAAGUAAAAACAGACGCUCACCCAGCCCUCAGGGAAUUUUAGAUUUCCCUUAGUACAUUUGUAAGAUGGGUUCAAUGUAAUUUUCCCAUAACAUGAAUAUACGGGAAGUGAUCUUUCCAAGAACACACAGUGAGACAGUAGACAAGAAGUCUAAGAACUAAACCAGAUGUCACAAACUGUGAAGUCUAUUCUCAACCCUUUCACUAACUCACUGAUGUGGUUUAGAUUAAUUCACUCAAUUUCUAAUCCUUUUAUUAAAAACAAUGCUUCCUGUUUAUUUUUAGAAUCAUCCAUUCAAAAGCUUUAGUUGUUUUUCAUUUCCAUUGUAAGUUAUACCAAAAUAAGAGUCAGAACUUCAUAUCAAACUAUCAUGACAUCCACUUAACACAGAGGGAAGAAAAUAAUCAAAUUGAGGUUAAUAUUGUAUCAGAUCAAAUGCCAGCACAGAGCACAGGCAGUGAACACACUCUCUCCUGCCUCAUUCUUAGGGGCACAAACUGGGACAUAAUGACAUUAGCCUUUGUGGUUUCACCCAUCAAGGGACAACUAUCAGUGGUAUGUAUCCACAUGAGUCAGGGCCAUGUUCAGACUUGUGCUUAACAGAUAAGUUUGCUAGUGGUCUUGAGUCUACAGCAGUCUAAGUCUGGAUACAGAUCUCUAAAAACCAUGAACUAUGAAGAAACUAGAAUGCAUUGGGUUUAGAUACUUACAGUGAAGGUAGAUUUUGAUAUAUUCGCUUUCAGCUGACUUUUAAUGUAAUGAUAAGUCAAGGAAAGCAUUGUCAACCUUAGAUGAAUUUCUGUGACAAUUUGCAACCUCAUGCAGGGCCCAGAGCGUGGCCCAGAACAAGGUUAUAAGGAAUCAAGUGCCUUGAUCAUAUAUCUCAAUUUUUUGCUAGCAUUAAUAGACCCCCUGUCUAUCAAAUUACUCUUCCUUUGUUUCUCAUGACCAGUAUGUUCGCACAUGCAAAAGAACAUGAACAAUCAUUACUCCCACAUGUUUUCA
rnacentral:lncRNA from 1 species